UAGAAAACAUUGAAGAUCUAAUUGUAGAAAAUGAACCCAGUAAUUUUGAUGAUGAAGUUGUCAAAGCAAUUGAACCUGAAGAAACAACUUUAUUAGUUAGGUGUGCAGCUCACACAUUAAACCUUUGCAUUGAAGAUGGGCUUAAAAUUCCAGUUAUUCAACAAGUUUUAAGUCGUGCAAGACAUUACUUUAUCAGAAGAUAAUAAAAUUAAAGCAAAAUCUCAUUUAAUAAAAACUUGGAAUACUAUGAAAAACCUGACUUCACAAGAUUCAGAAAUGAAUGAAAACAAUAUAUCUGACAUAGAAACAAACAAUUUUGAAAAUGUUGAUGAUCCACUUGAACAGUUUUUAAAAUCACAAAGUGGAACUACAACUAAUUUAAUACCUCUACCUGGAAGCGACAAAUGUUCUAUUAGUUUUAAUUGAAGAAUUUGAUAAUAGUUGUAGAUUACAUCAUAAAACUGAUAUUAAACAAUUUUGGUUAAAUGCAAAGAAGCUAGAAUUAUUUAAGUUAGCGCAAGUUGCAAUGGCUGUUCCAUGCACACAGGUUACAGUAGAAAGAAAUUUUUCUGGUUUGAAGUAUGUGUGUAAUGAUUUAAGGACAUCGAUUUCAUCAUCAUUGCUUGAUGAAAUUAUGAUUAUUAGAGGCAACCAAAAAAUAUUUCAG